CAUCCGCCUGGGGACUACGAGCACAGCUUAAAACCCAAAGGACUUGGCGGUGCUUCAGACCCACCUAGAGGAGCCUGUUCUAGAACCGAUAACCCCCGUUAAACCUCACCACCUCUUGUCUUCCCCGCCUAUAUACCGCCGUCGUCAGCUUACCCUGUGAAGGCCCAACAGUAAGCAAAAUGGGUUUAACCCAAAACGUCAGGUCGAGGUGUAGCGCACGAGAUGGAAAGAAAUGGGCUACAUUUUCUGCCACAGAACACCACGAAAGGCACCCUGAAACAUGACGCCUGAAGGAGGAUUUAGUAGUAAAAAGCAAAUAGAG
rnacentral:rRNA from 1 species